AUUAAGCCUUUAUUGUUUAGUGGACUUGGGUGAGUAUUUUAUAUAAAUACUUCAAAUUCUUUUUGGAAAUAAACAACUGGUGAAUUAAUAUGUAAAUUAAUGUUAGCAUGGAUACCAAGUAGACCUAAGUUUUCUUGACAGUGGACCUGACAGUGCCUGGUCUAAGAUGAGUGAGAGCCUGAAAUGCAAGAUCUAGACCCAAAUGUUUUGUAGGCAAAUUGUGGUCCAUCACCUGCAGUGGACACUGAAGUGGAUUGAGAGCAGCAGCAGUCAGGAUGAAAGGAAAAUGAAGCCCUGUGCCAACUGUUCAAUAAAGGCAUCAGUCCUACAGCUCUCAUCUUAAACAACAAAAUACAAGCAGGAGGUAGCAAUAUAGAAACUGGGGAUUUCAGAAAAUUUGCUAAAUUUUAAUAUAGAAGGUAGAAGAUAGAUCCUAGAAAUGGCUGGCUACCGGAGAUGAAUAUCUUCAUGUGUUGCAUAUCAACAUACACUACACUAAGGGGUAAAGGAUGCUGGUAAGGCCAAAAGGAUGAAAUGUUUUUUCAUCAGGUUCAUUAGUGUAAUUUUAGAGAGUGGCCAUAGUAUGGACGGAAAAAAAAAAAGAUUGUCUUACAUUAAGAUUGCAAGUGCAUUUUAAAUUUAGUUAACAAUUUGUUAUGUGUUUUCAGAAAUAAAAUUAAGACACUUCUGUUAAAAGUACGACUUUUACGCCUACUGAAUGAUAGUACUAAAUUAUCAUUCAUUCAUUUAACAAAUGCCAGUUGGGCCCUUAAUGUUUGCCAGGCUCAGUUAAAACUGUUUUCAAGCUACUAGGUGGGCUUGAAGGUCAAAGAUGAAUCCUGAUAUCCUAAUGUUGGCUCUCAAGGCACUUCAAAUCCUAAGGACAAGGUUCACCAGAAGACAUGUCACUUUUGUAAUGAGACUGGGACAGAUAAUAGAGGAUCUUUGUCUAAUUGGUUGGGUAUCAAAGAAGAAGUGAG
rnacentral:lncRNA from 1 species